CAAAUGGAGAGUUUGAUCCUGGCUCAGGAUGAACGCUGGCGGCGUGCCUAAUACAUGCAAGUCGUACGAAGGAGCUUGCUCCUUAGUGGCGAACGGGUGAGUAAUACAUAAAUAAUCUGCCUCAAUGUCUGGGAUAACUAUUGGAAACGAUAGCUAAUACCGGAUAGCUUGUUAGAAGACAUCUUCUUUCAACUAAAGGAGCGUUCGCUCCGCUUUGAGAUGAGUUUAUGGCGCAUUAGUUAGUUGGCGGGGUAAUGGCCCACCAAGACGAUGAUGCGUAGCCGAUCUGAGAGGAUGACCGGCCACACUGGGACUGAGACACGGCCCAGACUCCUACGGGAGGCAGCAGUAGGGAAUUUUCGGCAAUGGGCGAAAGCCUGACCGAGCAACGCCGCGUGAGUGAUGAAGGCCUUCGGGUUGUAAAGCUCUGUUGUUAGGGAAGAAUGAUCAGGAUAGGAAAUGAUCUUGAAGUGACGGUACCUAACCAGAAAGCCACGGCUAACUACGUGCCAGCAGCCGCGGUAAUACGUAGGUGGCAAGCGUUAUCCGGAAUUAUUGGGCGUAAAGGGUGCGUAGGCGGUUUCUUAAGUCUUAUGUGAAAUCUCAGAGCUUAACUCUGGGCUGCAUAAGAAACUAUUAGACUAGAGUGCAGGAGAGGGCAACGGAAUUCCAUGUGUAGCGGUAAAAUGCGUAGAUAUAUGGAGGAACACCGGUGGCGAAGGCGGUUGCCUGGCCUGUUACUGACGCUGAAGCACGAAAGCGUGGGGAGCAAAUAGGAUUAGAUACCCUAGUAGUCCACGCUGUAAACGAUGAAUACUAAGUGUUGGGAUAAAACUCAGUGCUGCAGUUAACGCAAUAAGUAUUCCGCCUGGGGAGUACGCACGCAAGUGUGAAACUCAAAGGAAUUGACGGGACCCCGCACAAGCGGUGGAUUAUGUUGUUUAAUUCGACGCAACGCGAAGAACCUUACCAGGCCUUGACAUACCCAGCAAAGCUAUAGAGAUAUAGUGGAGGUUAUCUGGGAUACAGGUGGUGCAUGGUUGUCGUCAGCUCGUGUCGUGAGAUGUUGGGUUAAGUCCCGCAACGAGCGCAACCCUUGUCUUUAGUUACCAUCAUUAAGUUGGGGACUCUAGAGAGACUGCCGGUGAUAAACCGGAGGAAGGUGGGGAUGACGUCAAAUCAUCAUGCCCCUUAUGGCCUGGGCUACAAACGUAAUACAAUGGCGUAUACAAAGGGAUGCGAAGUGGUGACAUGGAGCAAAACUCAUAAAGUACGUCUCAGUUCGGAUUGAAGUCUGCAACUCGACUUCAUGAAGCUGGAAUCGCUAGUAAUCGCGGAUCAGCAUGCCGCGGUGAAUACGUUCUCGGGGUUUGUACACACCGCCCGUCAAACCAUGAGAGUUGAUAAUACCCGAAGCCGGUGGCCUAACCGUAAGGAAGGAGCCGUCGAAGGUAGGAUCGAUGAUUGGGGUUAAGUCGUAACAAGGUAUCCCUACGGGAACGUGGGGAUGGAUCACCUCCUUUCUAAGGAGA
rnacentral:rRNA from 1 species